UCCCUGUGGACGGACAUUUUUAUGUAAAGGAAUGUGAGAUGGGUCCUUGAGGAGCAUCUUUCUGGAGAUUAUUCCAUUUUUAGUUGAUCGAGGAAGAGUCUCUGGUUAUUCUUCCCAGCUAUCAGGACCUUGAGUGUCACCAAUCCGUUUGACAUUUCUUGAACUUCAGAGACCAGAAUGCAGAAUUCCUAUCUCAUUUCAACCAGGAGCAACGAUUUUAUAAUUAAAAAAAACUGCAUGGAAGAAAAUUAUAAGAAAUAUUACCCAUUCUCUUGGAUCUCCUCAUGCCACUUCACUGCUAAAAAUUUGAUUACUUGCGUUACCAACAAGAUCUCAAAUCUCUUGCUCUCACUUGCAAAACCUUUCAUCUUUGGAUCAUACUACUGCCAAUUACCUUAUGCCCCUUCAACAUGUGUCUAUUCUGUUCGAUAAACUCACCAUGGAAGUUAAGUCUCCAUGACUCUGCUGCUGUUAUUCCCUCUGCCUGGAUUUAUCUUACUUUCUGCCUUACAUUCAAACACCUUUAGCAUUCAAAAUCACUUCUAAUAUCACUGAGACUCUCAAACAGAAUUAACAGACCCUCAGGCAAAUUAUAUAGCAUAUCAUACUUGGUUUCAUCUGUAAAAUGUAAGUAUUAUGUGAAAUAAUACCCAUAAAAUACAUAUAAUAGUUUCUAACAUAUAGCAGCCACUCAAUAAAUGUAACUUAUCAGUAGCUAUCCUUUUUUAUGCUUCUGUAACACUUACUAUUUCAUAGUUGCAAUUCUAUUUAAUUACUCUUUAUCUUCUGUUGUAUCAUAAGCAAACUUUGGGACUUAUACAAAGCCUUCUACAUUAUGCGCCCUCAUAUUAAAUGUUGAUUGAAUAAACGUAUCAUCAUAGGUAACGUGAGUUUUUAUAUUAACAAAAAGUUAGUAGAAAAUCUAUUAAUAGUAAAAAAUAAAAUUAUAUUCCAUAUAUUAAUAUUUUUAUGAUAGUAGGACAAGUUAUAGAAAUGUAUUCUUCCUUGGGAAGAGAAGGUGGUUGAUGAUUUAUCAUUUAACUACAUUAGAGAAGAACUUCAUGUUUUUAACUGGGACCAACCUCCAUGUGGUGAUAUUCUUUCCAGGCAUGCAUAGCUAUCAGGCUCCUGGUCUUUCAUCAAAUAUGUCAACCCUAUUCCUUGUUGACAUGACAGUAGAAGAAUAUGGACCUCUACUUGACAGUUAAUCUGAAAAUGUCUACUCAAGAGAUAUUUUUUUCUAAGAAAAACUCUCAAAUUUAUUUAUGUGUACUAAAUUAUACUUGCUAUGCUUCGGAUGUGUCCCCUCUUGGAGGUGUUGCCAAUAUGAUAGUAUUAUUAAGCAGUGGGGUCUUUAUGCGUUAUUAGACCAUGAGGGCUCCUCCCUUGUGAAUGGGAUUAAGGUGCUUACGGUAGUGGCUUCAUGCAGUGCUAGGCUAUUUUGCCGUUCUGUCUUCCAACAUAUGAGAACACAGUGUUCCUCCCCUUCAGAAGAUUCAGCCCUCACCUGACAAGUGAACCUGCUGGCACCUUGAUAUUGGACUUCCCACUCCACAGAACUGUGAGAAAAUAAAUCUGUUCUUUAUAAAUUACCUGGUUUUAGGUAGUCUGUUAUAACAGCACAAAAUGGACUAUGAUGCUUGU